GCACUACUGAUGAGCUCCAAUUAGAGCGAAACUCGAGUCUAGUGC
rfam:Echinostoma caproni strain Egypt genome assembly, scaffold: ECPE_scaffold0003728